GAUGAACGCUAGCGGCAGGCUUCAUACAUGCAAGUCGAGGGGCAGCAUAAAUUACUUGUAAUUUGAUGGCGACCGGCGAACGGGUGCGUAACGCGUAUGCAACUUACCUUUUACUAGAGAAUAGCCAAGAGAAAUUUUGAUUAAUGCUCUAUGUUCUUAUUUACUCGCAUGAGUAAAUAAGCAAAGCUCCGGCGGUAAAAGAUGGGCAUGCGUCCUAUUAGCUUGUAGGUGAGGUAACGGCUCACCUAAGCUCCGAUAGGUAGGGGUCCUGAGAGGGAGAUCCCCCACACUGGUACUGAGACACGGACCAGACUUCUACGGAAGGCAGCAGUAAGGAAUAUUGGACAAUGGAGGAAACUCUGAUCCAGCCAUGCCGCGUGAAGGAAGACGGCCUUAUGGGUUGUAAACUUCUUUUAUACAGGAAGAAACCUUUCCACGUGUGGAAAGCUGACGGUACUGUAAGAAUAAGGAUCGGCUAACUCCG
rnacentral:rRNA from 1 species